rnacentral:tRNA from 1 species
AGAAAAGUAAGCUAAAUUAAGCUAAUGGGUUCAUACCUCAUUUAUAGAGUUUUCCUCUCUAUUCUA